rnacentral:rRNA from 1 species
AACGAACGCUGGCGGCAGGCCUAACACAUGCAAGUCGAACGGGAUCUUCGGAUCUAGUGGCGGACGGGUGAGUAACGCGUGGGAACGUGCCCUUUGGUUCGGAAUAGCCCUGGGAAACUGGGAGUAAUACCGGAUGUGGUCGAGAGACGAAAGAUUUAUCGCCAAAGGAUCGGCCCGCGUUGGAUUAGGUAGUUGGUGGGGUAAUGGCCUACCAAGCCGACGAUCCAUAGCUGGUUUGAGAGGAUGAUCAGCCACACUGGGACUGAGACACGGCCCAGACUCCUACGGGAGGCAGCAGUGGGGAAUUUUAGACAAUGGGGGAAACCCUGAUCUAGCCAUGCCGCGUGAGCGAUGAAGGCCUUAGGGUUGUAAAGCUCUUUUACCAGGGAUGAUAAUGACAGUACCUGGAGAAUAAGCUCCGGCUAACUCCGUGCCAGCAGCCGCCGUAAUAC